UACGGAGGGGGUUAGCGUUGUUCGGAAUUACUGGGCGUAAAGCGCACGUAGGCGGCUUUGUAAGUUAGAGGUGAAAGCCCGGGGCUCAACUCCGGAAUUGCCUUUAAGACUGCAUCGCUAGAAUUGUGGAGAGGUAAGUGGAAUUCCGAGUGUAGAGGUGAAAUUCGUAGAUAUUCGGAAGAACACCAGUGGCGAAGGCGACUUACUGGACACAUAUUGACGCUGAGGUGCGAAAGCGUGGGGAGCAAACAGG
rnacentral:rRNA from 1 species